GCCUCGUCCUGCAGCCGAGUCCCCCACGAGCUACCUCGCCUCCGCCAAGCAGUCGCCCAGCCAACAAACAGGAGCUCGUUGCUAUUGCAGCCAAAGCAAGCGUGGCGGGACUCUGUAUCGGCGAGGACUGCGACAGCAGUAAAAACAGCACACUGAGCCCUUUGGAGACUGGAAUGCCUUUCAUUAUUCUUGAGAGACCAAUUAAGGACUAGUGUUGACAUAUUCCAAAAGGGCUCCUGUCUGGGCCUUGUACAAAGUACAAAAGAACAACAUCAUGGUUACAAACCAGCGACUCAAGGUUGCAGAGGGUAUGCAACAAAAAUGAGAAAAUGGAGAGGGAUUUUCAGGGAUCCACAAAGCAUUUAGAGGAGCCUUCCUUCUUUAUGCCACGCUGUGACUUGAACAUUUUAUCUUGCUCCUUGAAGAAAUCCAACUCCGCAAGGAGCAGCUAGCGUUAGAAACUACCCAAAACAAACACAAUAGCUGAGCGGGCCAAGGACUAAAAGCACGUGCCGAGUUGAAUGAGAGCAGCAAUUUUGGUAUGAUUUGCAGCUCACACCUGCAUGCCUGUUCUAACAAGCUUUUUAAAUCAUCAGUGUAGUGUAAAACACUUAAAAUGAACCUAAAUUAGAAAGUCAAAACUUGCUAAUUCACAUUAAUUAAUAGGAGACUCAUUGUGAAUUAGCAGAGUGAUUUAAAAAAGCAAAGGUACUGUGCUAGGAUGAAUGUAUUCUGUUCAUUUAGGGCCUGAUUCUGUCUAUUCUUACUCCUGAGGAUUGGUAUUUUAUUCUUUAAAUUGCCUGACUCACAGUGACUACUGCUCAAGGAAGGAUCUGACGUGUUGGUGUAGAAGAUAACAACCACUCCUGAGCAUAUUUGAUGAUGGAACAGUGAGCCUUAAGGUUGACAAAGUAAAGGAGUGUUUGAGCUGUCACCACCCAACCCAUCAAGGAAAGACAUCAUCAACAAUAACCAAUGCAGACUAGUGUAUCUAAAUGGAGCAGAAAAUUAAUUAUGCGCAAUUUUUUUCAGACUAAACAAAAAUAACCCAUGAAAAAGGAAAAAAAAUUUUGCUUAAAUGUAAUAACAUUAAAUAACAACAC